UGAAUACGAGACGCUAAGGCGUCGAAGUAGUGUAUGUCAUACUUCCAAGAAAAGCUUGCACUGUCAUAAGUAAAAAAUGCCUGUACCAUAACCGACACAGGUGGGUAGGUAGAGUAUACUAAGGGGCGCGAGAUAACUCUCUCUAAGGAACUCGGCAAAAUAACUCCGUAACUUCGGGAGAAGGAGUACCUUAUUCUAUAAGGUUGCAAUAACAAGAUCCAAGCAACUGUUUAUCAAAAACACAGGUCUCCGCUAAGUCGUAAGACGAUGUAUGGGGGCUGACGCCUGCCCAGUGCCAGAAGGUUAAAGAAGUCGGUUAGCAUUAGCGAAGCUGGUAACUGAAGCCCUGGUGAACGGCGGCCGUAACGAUAACGGUCCUAAGGUAGCGAAAUUCCUUGUCGGGUAAGUUCCGACCCGCACGAAAGGCGUAAUGAUUUGGAUACUGUCUCGGAGAGGGGCUCGGUGAAAUAGACUUGUCUGUGAAGAUGCGGACUACCUGCACCAGGACAGAAAGACCCUAUGAAGCUUUACUGUAACUUGAAAUUGAAAUUGGACUUUAUUCGCGCAGUAUAGGUGGGAGGUGUUGAUUAUAAUCUUGCGGGAUUAUUGGAGCCAUCAGUGAGAUACCACUCUUGUAAUGUUAGAUUUCUAACUUUGAAUCAUUAUCUGGUCAAAGGACAGUUUCAGGCGGGCAGUUUGACUGGGGCGGUCGCCUCCCAAACGGUAACGGAGGCGUACAAAGGUUUCCUCUGAACGGGUAGAAAUCGUAUCUAGAGUGUAAAGGCAUAAGGAAGCUUGACUGUGAGACCUACAAGUCGAACAGGGACGAAAGUCGGUCUUAGUGAUCUGACGGUACUGAGUGGAAAGGUCGUCACUCAACGGAUAAAAGUUACUCUAAGGAUAACAGGCUGAUCUCCCCCAAGAGUUCACAUCGACGGGGAGGUUUGGCACCUCGAUGUCGGCUCAUCGCAUCCUGGGGCGGUAGUACGUCCCAAGGGUUGGGCUGUUCGCCCAUGAAAGCGGUACGCGAGCUGGGUUCAGAACGUCGUGAGACAGUUCGGUCCAUAUCCGGUGUAGGCGUUAGAAUAUUGAGAGGAGCCUUCUUUAGUACGAGAGGACCGAGAAGGACAUACCUCUGGUGUACCAGUUAUCGUGCCAACGGUAAACGCUGGGUAGCUAUGUAUGGAGUGGAUAACCGCUGAAAGCAUCUAAGUGGGAAGCCCACCUCAAGAUAAGUAUUCUC
rnacentral:rRNA from 1 species